rnacentral:rRNA from 1 species
UACGGAGGAUGCGAGCGUUAUCCGGAUUUAUUGGGUUUAAAGGGUGCGUAGGCGGGCUGUUAAGUCAGCGGUAAAAGCCCGGGGCUCAACCCCGGCGAGCCGUUGAAACUGGCUGUCUUGAGAUGUCGAGAGGUAUGUGGAAUGCGCAGUGUAGCGGUGAAAUGCUUAGAUAUUGCGCAGAACUCCGAUUGCGAAGGCAGCAUACCGGCGGCGAUCUGACGCUGAGGCACGAAAGCGUGGGUAUCGAACAGG